rnacentral:rRNA from 1 species
UACGUAGGGUGCGAGCGUUAAUCGGAAUUACUGGGCGUAAAGCGUGCGCAGGCGGUGAUGUAAGACCGAUGUGAAAAUCCCCGGGCUUAACCUGGGAACUGCAUUGGUGACUGCAUUGCUGGAGUAUGGCAGAGGGGGGUGGAAUUCCACGUGUAGCAGUGAAAUGCGUAGAGAUGUGGAGGAACACCGAUGGCGAAGGCAGCCCCCUGGGCCAAUACUGACGCUCAUGCACGAAAGCGUGGGGGAGCAAACAG